rnacentral:rRNA from 1 species
GGAAUGAGUACAAUUUUAAAAACCUUAACGAGGAACAAUUGGAGGGCAAGUCUGGUGCCAGCAGCCGCGGUAAUUCCAGCUCCAAUAGUGUAUAUUAAAGUUGCUGCGGUUAAAAAGCUCGUAGUUGGAUUUCGGAGUUGUUAUCUGAACCUUCUCGCCAUAAAAAGUGGGGGGGCUAAGGUAGCAGUAGUUUUCAUCAUAGUCCACCAGGAUACUCUCUUGGUGUGUACUGGGUGUUAACCUCCUUUUUUUCUGGUACUUGCUAUCCAGCAAUGGGUAGUUUUGUCCAGAUAGUUUACUUUGAAAAAAUUAGAGUGUUCAAAGCAGGCAUUGGCAUCAUGAAUACAUUAGCAUGGGAUAAUAGAAUAUGACAUUGGUCUUAUUUUGUUGGUUUCUAAGGCCAAAGUAAUGAUUGAUAGGGAUAGUUGGGGCCGCUCGUAUUGAGUUGUCAGAGGUGAAAUUCUAGGAUUUACUCAAGACGAACUAAUGCGAAAGCAUUCGGCAAGGAUGUUUCAUUAAUCAAG